rnacentral:rRNA from 1 species
GAUGAACGCUAGCGACAGGCCUAACACAUGCAAGUCGAGGGGCAGCACGGUGUAGCAAUACACGGGUGCGACCGGCGCACGGGUGAGUAACGCGUAUGCAACCUGCCUACUACAAGGGGAUAACCCGUUGAAAGACGGACUAAUACCCUAUAACACAGGGAAUCCGCAUGGAUAUAUUUGUAAAGAUUUAUCGGUAGUAGAUGGGCAUGCGUUCCAUUAGCUUGUUGGUGAGGUAACGGCUCACCAAGGCAACGAUGGAUAGGGGAACUGAGAGGUUGAUCCCCCACACUGGAACUGAGACACGGUCCAGACUCCUACGGGAGCAGCAGUGAGGAAUAUUGGUCAAUGGACGAGAGUCUGAACCAGCCAAGUCGCGUGAA